rnacentral:miRNA from 1 species
CCUAGAACUCACUGUGUAGACCAAGCUGGUCUCAAUCUCACAGAGAUCCGCCAGCCUCUGCCUCCUGUGUGCUGGGAU